ACCAGACGGCUCAUUCAUUUCAGGGGGACCAGGGACAAUGAGUUCCUAAAAUCGAAAAUGAUCGCCUGAAAACAGUGGGAGCUUUUUCUGGAAGAAAUGGGGGUGGAGGGGAAAGUGACCAGGCAACAGGCUUCUAAGAAGUGGGAGAACCUUAAAAAUAAGUACAAGGAUUUGAGGACUCCCAAAACUCGGGUCGGGGACUGAAAGUGGGGAGGUGACUGUGGCGACGUGGCAGUAUUAUGACUUGAUGCACGAGGUUCUUGGUGCCCGGCCAGCAAUUGACCCACCAGUCCUUGUGUCACCUAUUCAAGACCCCAUGGUUAUCCUCAUGGAGAUGGUGGAGCCCUACACCCAAGGUUGACCUCCACCUUGUCUUCAUCAUCCCGAAGUCCCGCUCUAUCACAGAACGCGCCUUGGAUUGGCGGUAAUUAAAGCGCUGCUGCACCCGCCCAAUCACCGGCUCUUUGUAGGGAGUCAACAGACAUACGGGCGUCUGGAGGCAGGGGUACCCACCAUCACCUAAGAGCAUGUAACCCGGCGGUGGAUACCUGGCAGUCCAAUAAAAAGGACUGUUUUUCAUUACCCUUGUGUCAUGGACAGACCCUGGGUAGCCCACAGAAAUGUCCAAAAAUGUCCCCUUUGCAUCGCAUAUGGCCUGCAUGUUAAUUGAAUAGAAAUUCUUGUAAUUUAGAUAGUCUAAUCGAUGUAGUUGUGGUGGCUUGAUCCGAAUAUGGGUUCCAUCGAUCCUUCUUUUCCAAAGAGGGCAGCAUGUUUCUUGUCAAACGAGCGCCUGACAGUCUCUCCGUCCUGUCUCUCCGUCCUGUCUCUCCGUCCUGUCUCUCCGUCCUGUCUCUCCGUCCUGUCUCU